UACGGGGGGGGCAAGCGUUGUUCGGAAUUACUGGGCGUAAAGGGCUCGUAGGUGGCCAACUAAGUCAGACGUGAAAUCCCUCGGCUUAACCGGGGAACUGCGUCUGAUACUGGAUGGCUUGAGUUUGGGAGAGGGACGCGGAAUUCCAGGUGUAGCGGUGAAAUGCGUAGAUAUCUGGAGGAACACCGGUGGCGAAGGCGACGUCCUGGACCAACACUGACACUGAUGAGCGAAAGCCAGGGGAGCAAACGGG
rnacentral:rRNA from 1 species